rnacentral:rRNA from 1 species
CACUCAAAGAUUAAGCCAUGCAUGUCUAAGUAUAAGCAAUUAUACCGUGAAACUGCGAAUGGCUCAUUAAAUCAGUUAUCGUUUAUUUGAUAGUACCUUACUACUUGGAUAACCGUGGUAAUUCUAGAGCUAAUACAUGCUGAAAACCCCGACUUCGGAAGGGGUGUAUUUAUUAGAUAAAAAACCAAUGCCCUUCGGGGCUCCUUGGUGAUUCAUAAUAACUUCUCAGAUCGCAUGGCCUUGCGCCGGCGACGGUUCAUUCAAAUUUCUGCCCUAUCAACUUUCGAUGGUAAGGUAUUGGCUUACCAUGGUUUCAACGGGUAACGGGGAAUUAGGGUUCGAUUCCGGAGAGGGAGCCUGAGAAACGGCUACCACAUCCAAGGAAGGCAGCAGGCGCGCAAAUUACCCAAUCCCGACACGGGGAGGUAGUGACAAUAAAUACUGAUACAGGGCUCUUUUGGGUCUUGUAAUUGGAAUGAGUACAAUUUAAACCUCUUAACGAGGAACAAUUGGAGGGCAAGUCUGGUGCCAGCAGCCGCGGUAAUUCCAGCUCCAAUAGCGUAUAUUAAAGUUGUUGCAGUUAAAAAGCUCGUAGUUGAACCUUUGGCCUGGCUGGCAGGUCCGCCUCACCGCGUGCACUUGUCCGGCCGGGCCUUCUUUUCUGGAGAACCGCAUGCCCUUCACUGGGUGUGUUGGGGACCAGGACUUUUACUUUGAAAAAAUUAGAGUGUUCAAAGCAGGCCUUUGCUCGAAUACGUUAGCAUGGAAUAAUAGAAUAGGACGUGCGGUCCUAUUUUGUUGGUUUCUAGGACCGCCGUAAUGAUUAAUAGGGACAGUCGGGGGCAUCAGUAUUCAAUUGUCAGAGGUGAAAUUCUUGGAUUUAUUGAAGACUAACUACUGCGAAAGCAUUUGCCAAGGAUGUUUUCAUUAAUCAGUGAACGAAAGUUAGGGGAUCGAAGACGAUCAGAUACCGUCGUAGUCUUAACCAUAAACUAUGCCGACUAGGGAUCGGGCGGUGUUAUUAUUUUGACUCGCUCGGCACCUUACGAGAAAUCAAAGUG